rnacentral:rRNA from 1 species
UACGUAGGGUGCAAGCGUUAAUCGGAAUUACUGGGCGUAAAGCGUGCGCAGGCGGUUUUGUAAGCCAGAUGUGAAAUCCCCGGGCUUAACCUGGGAAUGGCAUUUGGGACUGCAAGGCUUGAGUGCGGCAGAGGAGACUAGAAUUCCUGGUGUAGCAGUGAAAUGCGUAGAUAUCAGGAGGAAUACCGAUGGCGAAGGCAGGUCUCUGGGCUGACACUGACGCUCAUGCACGAAAGCGUGGGGAGCAAACAGG